GCAUUGGUGGUUCGGUGGUAGAAUUCUUGCCUUCCCUGCAGGAGACCCAGGUUCGAUUCCCGGCCAAGGUA
rnacentral:tRNA from 1 species